GACUAAGCAGACCUACCCUUCCUGGCUGGGAGAAAGAGACGAAGGCAAAAGAAAGAGGAUUAACAGACAAGAAGCAGAGUGGGGAGUGUCAUGUGGCUCUUGCGUUAGGUCAAAGUGGAUGAAGAUUCGAGCCCCUCUACCACACGUGCUGUGUUCAGGUCACUGCUGGGGAUAGAUGGGCCAGUUCCCAAUGGAGACUCAGAAAAAGAAGCAUAGAGCACCUCUCUGAGCACUGAGAAGUUGAAGCACUCUCUGCAUCUCCUCGCAGCACGGCUCACGGGUCCCUGGUGCUCCUGGCCUCCCCUGCCCAUGAGUGAAGCUCCUCCUCACCCAGGGCUGCCCUGGGCCAAGAUGCUGAGGCUCACGGUAACACAAGGAAGAGAAAAUGAAUGAACCUGGAGUUUAUAGGAUUGCUGGGGAGAGAGACAUGAACUCCCCCAGUACGAAGAGGCUCAUGAGCAACCAUCUUGUGCAAGAUGGCAUACAGGAGGUCCAAGGAGCAAGCCCUAUCGCUGGAGAAAAUGUUCAAGAAGACUGCCCUACAAGGAGAAUCUCUGGGUCUCAGAAGAUGAGGAGGAAAUUGGGGUGGGGGGGUUACCAAAAAGGGAUCUCCAUUUCCCCACAGCAGCUUCUCCCAUGGCUCAGCCUCUUCUUGAAGGUACCUUAAC